GUUCUGUGGGAAUUAGAGGUAAACACCUCCCUUGAACGUGAGUUCUCAUAGUAUAAGCGAUGUCCGUUGGAGAGCCUGAUGAUGUCCCACCACGAUGCAACGGCUCUCCUGGCUGGGGCUAGUGGAAGCAGUUUUGAUGGAAGUUAAGGUGCCAAUGAACAGAGAAAUAGCCAAAGGGCUCGCUGAGUGGGAGCAGAGAUGACGUGAAACAAGGUCCCAGCUUGAACACUCUGAGUUUUGAACAGAUAUGUCUGAGAGGACAUCUGCCAGAAGCCUAUUUGCAUGAGGAACUUAGAAACCUCCAGGAGAAAGCUCAGACUGAAGGAAAGAGGAGUCGGCUUGCCAACUGCAAGGCACCAGACAAUAAAUAAUGCCUUAGUGGUCAAUGGAAAGGUUGGGAUUUUUAGAACCUAUGGUUCCCAGUGCUUAGCUUUGUCUCCAUGUCCAACACCCCCAUGUGAAUCCUACAGAAAGUUGUGGGGCAGAGGGGCAAAAAAAAUAAAGCUAUGUUUCCCUAAAAAAUCUCUAGUAUUUAGGGAUAUCAAGGCACACUGUCUUGGUCCAUUCAGGCUGCUGUAAAAAAUACUUUAGACCAAGUGAUAUGCAAACAGCUGAAAUUUAUUGCUCACAGUUGUGGGGCUGGGAAGUCCAAGAUUAAAGUGCCUGUAGAUUCUGUGUCUGGUGAGGGCCUGUUCCUCACAGUGGCUCCGUCUCCUGUGUUCUCCCACGGUGGAAAGGGCAAAUGAG
rnacentral:lncRNA from 1 species